rnacentral:rRNA from 1 species
UACGUAGGGUGCAAGCGUUGCCCGGAUUUAUUGGGCGUAAAGGGCGCGUAGGCGGCUCGGCACGUCCGUUGUGAAAUCGCCCGGCUCAACUGGGCGGGGUCAGCGGAUACGGCCGAGCUUGAGCAAGCUAGGGGGCAAUGGAAUUCCCGGUGUAGUGGUGGAAUGCGUAGAGAUCCGGAAGAACACCGGUGGCGAAGGCGGUGAGCUGGGCAAUUGCUGACACUGAGGCGCGACAGCGUGGGGAGCAAACAGG